rnacentral:rRNA from 1 species
CCUACGGGUGGCUGCAGUGAGGAAUAUUGGGCAAUGGGGGCAACCCUGACCCAGCCACGUCGCGUGAGUGAAGAAGGUCUUCGGAUUGUAAAGCUCUUUCGGACGUGACGAUGAUGACGGUAGCGUCUAAAGAAGCACCGGCAAACUUCGUGCCAGCAGCCGCGGUAAUACGUAGGGGGCGAGCGUUGAUCGGAAUUACUGGGCGUAAAGGGAGUGUAGGGGGAUAUGUAAGUUAUCGGUGAAAUGCCGGGGCUCAACCCCGGAACUGCCAUUGAGACUGUGUAUCUAGAGUAAUGGAGAGGAUGGCGGAAUGCCCAGUGUAGAGGUGAAAUUCGUAGAUAUUGGGUAGAACACCGGUGGCGAAGGCGGCUAUCUGGCCAUUUACUGACGCUGAGGCUCGAAAGCAUGGGGAUCAAACAGGAUUAGAUACCCGAGUAGUC